GUAUCAAUAUGCCUAGACCAGACAAAGUGUAUUGCGUUGUUGCAAUCGUAUUGCACUUGUCCCGGUCUAAGCAUUUGGUAA
rnacentral:pre_miRNA from 10 species